rnacentral:rRNA from 1 species
GAGUCAUAUGCCUGUCUCAAAGAUUAAGCCAUGCAUGUCUAAGUACAUACUUUUGCACGGUGAAACCGCGAAUGGCUCAUUAAAUCAGUUAUGGUUUCUUAGAUCGUUUCUUUUACAUGGAUAACUGUGGUAAUUCUAGAGCUAAUACAUGCAAAAAGCUCCGACCGUAUGGGAAGAGCGCUUUUAUUAGACCAAAACCAAUGGGGUCGCAAGAUCCCUUUGUUUGGUGACUCUGGAUAACUUUGUGCUGAUCGCAUGGCCUAGAGCCGGCGACGUAUCUUUCAAGUGUCUGCCCUAUCAACUUUCGAUGGUAAGCGAUUUGCCUACCAUGGUUGUAACGGGUAACGGGGAAUCAGGGUUCGAUUCCGGAGAGGGAGCAUGAGAAAUGGCUACCACAUCUACGGAAGGCAGCAGGCGCGCAAAUUACCCACUCCUAGAACGGGGAGGUAGUGACGAAAAAUAACAAUACCGGACUCAAAGAGGCUCGGUAAUUGAAAUGAGUACAGUUUAAAACCCUUAACGAGGAUCUAUU